GAAUCAUCUGCCCCUGUGUAAAAUAAUUUCCAUGCAGUUUUGAGGAAUUUGGGAUCCGUGUAGAAAUCCCAUCAUCGCUAUGAGAUUGCGCCAGACAGAAGGAAACUCAAAGACCACACAGAGCUGUGCAGAGGCUGCAUGCAGCCCCAAGCAUUUUUCCAGGUUCUUUGUGAUCAGCACUGUCCCAGUCAUCUGCAACCAGCUUACGCUGCUACUCCCCAAGUCCUUUUGCCUCUUUCCUCAGUGCUUUUGUUCCUCUGGCUUUGGUUUAGAUAAAUCAGCCGUUAAACUGGCAAGCAAAAAGCACAAGUUAAAAAACCUACAAAGUCAGAUCAUUGGUGGAUAUGCAGUGUGGUUUCAUUUUCACUUCUGGUCUGCUGCUAAUCAUUUGUAGAAACGGCUACAAGAAGUGUGUAAGAAGAAAAACUGGGUGAGAUGGAAGCAUAGAAGACUUCCUUAGUCCUCCCAAGUUGGGGCAGUAUUGGCUGCUGAACAAAAUGCCAGCCAGAAAGGAAUUUAUGAAAUAUUGGAAAAAUAAUUCUAAUGUGUUGUCUCUACCGCUUAGUGCCAUGAUUCUGCUCAUAGUUGAAGAAAUUAUGGAGACUGAAUUUAAAUGCCCUCGAUGGACAACAUUAAAGAUUUUAUAUGUUCUUACCUAUUUUUUGUGUCCAGCUUUAAUUACACUUGGCCUGAGCUUGUCGUCCCAGCCCACCUGCAUUCUCUGGUUUCGCAGCUUUGGGAAAUGUUCGUACCGACAGAAGGGUGAGAUGCUUUGCAAGGUAUUUCUUCCUCCUCUGAUCUGGAUUGUGAUCCUGCUGUGGGAUGGCAGAUACAUUGAAUGUAUAGUUUCAAGAAGUGAAGUGGACAGCAAUCAAAAUGCAAACCAAACCAGAGCAGCAGAAUCAAUCACUGAAUUCUAUUCAUAUUCUCAGAUUUCAGGACUCCUCAUUCUUACAUUUGUCGUCAUUGUUUAUAGCCUGUUCCACACAUAUCCCUUCUGGUGCUGCUGUAAAAGUGAAGAAGAAUGUAGGAAAGAGGAGCUGAAGAACAUUUUAGAAGAAAAAAUGUGGAAACAUGUUCAAGAAUUGCAGAAUGAAAGUACAGAGCAGACAAUGGAAGAGGAAGUGAAACCUCUUCUGCAGAAUGUUCCUAAAAACUUCUGGAGAGAUGUAGAUUUUAAAACAGCAAUAUUAAAAAUAAAGGAGACUUUAAGGAAUGUGUUUAGAUAUACAAAUAUUGGAACACAAGAACCAACUAAACCAUGUGUUUGCAUUUAAAAUGUGCCUCCAUCAUCGGGCCCUGAUGUGCACCUGUCCUGUGUUUGGCUGGGACAGAGGUAAUUUUCUUCCUAGCAUCUGGGAUGUUUACGUGUUUUGGGUUUAAGGUGAGAAUAAUGCUGAGAACACACCGAUGUUGUAGCUGUUGCAGAGCAGUGCUUACACUGAGCCAAGGACUUUUCAGCUUCUCACACUGCCCUGCCAGCGGGCAGGCUGGGGUUGCACAAGGAGCUUUGUGCA
rnacentral:lncRNA from 1 species